rnacentral:rRNA from 1 species
GACGGAGGAUGCAAGCGUUAUCCGGAAUGAUUGGGCGUAAAGCGUCCGCAGGUGGCAGUUCAAGUCUGCUGUCAAAGACCGGGGCUUAACUUCGGAAAGGCAGUGGAAACUGAACAGCUAGAGUAUGGUAGGGGCAGAGGGAAUUCCUGGUGUAGCGGUGAAAUGCGUAGAGAUCAGGAGGAACACCGGUGGCGAAGGCGGUUCUCUGGGCAGUUGACCUGACGCUGGAGGAGCGAAAGUGUGGGGAGCGAACAGG